AUUGAACGCUGGCGGCAGGCCUAACACAUGCAAGUCGAGCGGAGCGGCGGACGGGUGAGGAAUGCCUAGGAAUCUGCAUGGUAGUGGGGGAUAACGUCCGGAAGCGGGCGCUAAUACGGCAUACUAUCAGUCGAGCCUAGGUCGGAUUAGCUAGUUGGGGGGGUAAAGGCCUACCAAGGCGACGAUCCGUAUCUGGACUGAGAGGAUGAUCAGUCACACUGGAACUGAGACACGGUCCAGACUCCUACGGGAGGCAGCAGUGGGGAAUAUUCGGCAAUGGGCGAAAGCCUGAUCCAGCCAUGCCGCGUGUGUGAAGAAGGUUUUCGGAUCGUAAAGCACUUUAAGUUGGGAGGCGUUACCAACAGAGUAAGCACCGGCUAACUUCGUGCCAGCAGCCGCGGUAAUAC
rnacentral:rRNA from 1 species